GACGAACGCUGGCGGCGUGCUUAACACAUGCAAGUCGAACGGAAAGGCCCUGCUUGCCGGGUGCUCGAGUGGCGAACGGGUGAGUAACACGUGGGUGAUCUGCCCCUUACUUUGGGAUAAGCCUGGGAAACUGGGUCUAAUACUGGAUAGGACCAUGCUGUAGGUGGUGUGGUGGAAAGAUUAGUUUCGGUAAGGGAUGAGCUCGCGGCCUAUCAGCUUGUUGGUGGGGUAAUGGCCUACCAAGGCGUCGACGGGUAGCCGGCCUGAGAGGGUGGACGGCCACAUUGGGACUGAGAUACGGCGCAGACGCCUACGGGAGGCAGCAGUGGGGAAUAUUGCACAAUGGGCGCAAGCCGGAUGCAGCGACGCCGCGUGGGGGAUGACGGCCUUCGGGUUGUAAACUCCUUUCAGCCAUGACGAAGCCCUUGUGGUGACGGUAGUGGUAGAAGAAGCACCGGCUAACUACGUG
rnacentral:rRNA from 1 species